rnacentral:rRNA from 1 species
GACAGAGGUGGCGAGCGUUGUUCGGAAUCACUGGGCUUAAAGGGCGAGUAGGCGGUGGAGCAAGUCUGAGGUGGAAUCCUACGGCUUAACCGUAGAACUGCCUUAGAAACUGUUUUACUUGAGUCAAUGAGGGGAGGGCGGAAUUCCUGGUGUAGCGGUGAAAUGCGUAGAUAUCAGGAGGAAGGCCUGUGGCGAAGGCGGCCCUCUGGCAUUGUACUGACGCUGAGGCGCGAAAGCGUGGGGAGCAAAC